ACAAUGAAGAGUUUGAUCCUGGCUCAGGAUGAACGCUAGCUACAGGCUUAACACAUGCAAGUCGAGGGGCAGCAUUUCAGUUUGCUUGCAAACUGGAGAUGGCGACCGGCGCACGGGUGAGUAACACGUAUCCAACCUGCCGAUAACUCGGGGAUAGCCUUUCGAAAGAAAGAUUAAUACCCGAUGGUAUAAUCAGACCGCAUGGUCUUGUUAUUAAAGAAUUUCGGUUAUCGAUGGGGAUGCGUUCCAUUAGGCAGUUGGUGAGGUAACGGCUCACCAAACCUUCGAUGGAUAGGGGUUCUGAGAGGAAGGUCCCCCACAUUGGAACUGAGACACGGUCCAAACUCCUACGGGAGGCAGCAGUGAGGAAUAUUGGUCAAUGGACGAGAGUCUGAACCAGCCAAGUAGCGUGAAGGAUGACUGCCCUAUGGGUUGUAAACUUCUUUUAUAUGGGAAUAAAGUUUUCCACGUGUGGAAUUUUGUAUGUACCAUAUGAAUAAGGAUCGGCUAACUCCGUGCCAGCAGCCGCGGUAAUACGGAGGAUCCGAGCGUUAUCCGGAUUUAUUGGGUUUAAAGGGAGCGUAGGUGGACAGUUAAGUCAGUUGUGAAAGUUUGCGGCUCAACCGUAAAAUUGCAGUUGAUACUGGCUGUCUUGAGUACAGUAGAGGUGGGCGGAAUUCGUGGUGUAGCGGUGAAAUGCUUAGAUAUCACGAAGAACUCCGAUUGCGAAGGCAGCUCACUGGACUGCAACUGACACUGAUGCUCGAAAGUGUGGGUAUCAAACAGGAUUAGAUACCCUGGUAGUCCACACAGUAAACGAUGAAUACUCGCUGUUUGCGAUAUACAGUAAGCGGCCAAGCGAAAGCAUUAAGUAUUCCACCUGGGGAGUACGCCGGCAACGGUGAAACUCAAAGGAAUUGACGGGGGCCCGCACAAGCGGAGGAACAUGUGGUUUAAUUCGAUGAUACGCGAGGAACCUUACCCGGGCUUAAAUUGCAUUUGAAUAUAUUGGAAACAGUAUAGUCGUAAGACAAAUGUGAAGGUGCUGCAUGGUUGUCGUCAGCUCGUGCCGUGAGGUGUCGGCUUAAGUGCCAUAACGAGCGCAACCCUUAUCUUUAGUUACUAACAGGUCAUGCUGAGGACUCUAGAGAGACUGCCGUCGUAAGAUGUGAGGAAGGUGGGGAUGACGUCAAAUCAGCACGGCCCUUACGUCCGGGGCUACACACGUGUUACAAUGGGGGGUACAGAAGGCAGCUACCUGGUGACAGGAUGCUAAUCCCAAAAGCCUCUCUCAGUUCGGAUCGAAGUCUGCAACCCGACUUCGUGAAGCUGGAUUCGCUAGUAAUCGCGCAUCAGCCAUGGCGCGGUGAAUACGUUCCCGGGCCUUGUACACACCGCCCGUCAAGCCAUGAAAGCCGGGGGUACCUGAAGUACGUAACCGCAAGGAGCGUCCUAGGGUAAAACUGGUAAUUGGGGCUAAGUCGUAACAAGGUAGCCGUACCGGAAGGUGCGGCUGGAACACCUCCUUU
rnacentral:rRNA from 1 species